GCCGGUCGGGAGGCUGCGGCCUAGGCCCCGCCGCAGCGGCGCUGGGCCCGGCCCGGCCUAGCCCGGCGAGGCGCGGCGAGGCGCGGCGCGGCCCGUCGGCGGGCCCGAUCCGUCCCGCGUUCCUGCUGUGUCAUGCAGGCCCAGAGGAGGCGGGGGUACUGCCGGGAGGGGGAUGGGCACCUCCCUGCGUGCUGCUCCCCACGCCCCCCUGUCCCCCGGUCGGGCCUCCCCGGGAAGUGUCGAGUCAUGGGGUGGGGGUGGGGGGGCGGAGGCGAGGCCUGGCCGAGCCUCCCGCUGGGCCCUGGGGCCGCUUGCCUGCCAUGCCCCGGCGCGGCCCGGGCCGUCCCGCCAGGGCUAGGCCGUUAGCCGGAGCGGGCUUUGUCUUCCAGGCCUCGGAGUGGCUGGUGGGGCAGCGAGGGGCACGUCCCAGCCUCCUCCUCGCAGCGGCCCUCGGGCCGGGUCUGGCAAGUGACUUGGCAUUAGCAGAGGCAGACAUGUUGUGCCAGGUUGCCCUCUGUGCCAGCUGAGGCAAUAGGCUAUAUUUUCAUCUCUGGUGUCUUGCCUCGCUCGGUUUUCUGUUCCAGGCCGAGGAUCGUCUUUCGUGCUCCUCAAAAAUGAAUUGAGUAAUAGUGGUCUCUUGGCUCCUAGCCCAUGUGUGUAAGCUACUUCAUUGCACGUUGAGAGGAGUAAAAAUAGCACCUAAAGAGAAACUGCCCAAAUUCAGGACUACUUGAAGUGACAUUUUGGGCUUGCCAGAGGUGCUUUUGGUCCUUCAGUGUCCUUCGUUGAUGUUCUUCUUUUCUUUUGCAACUCCUGAAACUUAGAUCUGCUUGGUCCUGUUGAGUGAGUUCCAGCAAGCUGUGCCAAGAAUUUGGUGUCCAUGGUAGAGCUUGUGGUGGAAGUGACAGUCUCAGAGGUGUGUCUUGCAGCUGAGUGGGGUGAACAGUGACUUCAAAAAGAAAUUUCUACUUUAGCAAAGUUCUUCUCACCACAUAGGAGUCAACAAAAGUUACUCUGCAACUGGAAAAGAGUUACUUCUUAGUUGCCUUUUUUGGGUCAGUGCUUCUGGCAGCCAUCUUACGGAAUUGAGCCUUACCACAGCGAGUAGCAUUGCAAGAGCUAAGGCAGUGUGGUUUCUGAAGGGAUUCUUGUUUUCAUGUGCCUACCUGUCUGAAACAGUGUUUGAGAACUUGGCAUCUUAAGCGUGAGUGUGAACUCACUGCUUGGUUGUCAUGUGCUGUUCCAGUGAGUGGCUGCAGUCAUCAGAUACCUCACUCAUUUACUUCAAUGGAUAAAAUAUUUAAUGUGUUUGGAGCUUUUUUUGGUGGUGGUUUUUUGUUUUUUUUUUUAAUACAUACUUGGGGAAAGCAGUUCAGUCUGUAAUGUGGAUAUUCAGGGUGGUAAGAAACCACUAACAGGUUUUAUCUUGGAAGCAAGUUCCUGAGCAUAUAGCUAAAAAGGCACACCAGCAUUCAGAGGGUGUGACCGUUUUCACUUUCGUUACUGCAGCAGGAAUCAUUUUGAGUCAGUGAAUUUUUGCUAUAGUUUUAGCACAGUCUUACAGGAAGAACUUGCUUCCUCAGUUUAAGUGGAGCCUUGGAGCUUGGUAGUCUUUCUCAGAAGAACUGCUAAUUGGUAAUUACUUUCUGGUCUUGUUCUUCAUGCCAUCCACCACAAUGCAUAACUUCUGGGCCUUAUCACAUGCUGAACAAGGAGAGCUGUGGCAUAGAGAAAAAUGACAAAGGAUAAAUGUCCAGUCAGAUAACUGAAGCUGACCCUGCACAUUGAGAUGGCUGCAUGCUGUUUCUGGGAGACCUUCAUUCCAUUUUUAAUACCUCCAAGCUUUUUGAUUGCUUUAAGUGCAGUAAUGUACUAGCAACAUUGAUCCAGCCCUUGCUUCUUACUUAGGAAACUGUAGGUUCAGUUCUUCAGUACUAAAACUUUUUUUUUCCAUUCAGCAGAACUAAGUGGACCUCUUGCUGUGCUCUUCAGCACUGCUGUGUGUCAGAGGUAUCUAAACUUUUUUGCAGUUUUAUACAGCUCUUGGUUUGUGGACAGUUCCAAAAGCUUCCACUUGCUGCCCAGUUCCUUUUCCAUUUAUUUUUAUCUUGUGUCCCAAACUGAUUUUUAGACUACACGGCAGUCUCUGCAUCCCAAGGGAUAGCCACUCAGUUUCAGUAAUGGCUUUUGUAGUCAAAGUCUGGCAGCAGUUUCUUAUCAAAAGGCCUUUGGAUCCACAUCUCAUGUGUGGAGGAGUAUGAGUUACAUUCAUACUUUGAACAGGCUAAAUAGGAGUAUUGUUUCUUUCUGGUGUCACUUAGCUCAAGUUUUAAACUCUUAUCUGCUAAAUUAAUUUCCAGUGGCCAGGAGCUGAUGCUGAGGCAGGGUCCUUACAAAUAGGUUGUUGAGGUUUUUUUCUGUUUUAACCACAUGAUCCUGUCUGGCCUGACAGUGUAUUUGUUUGGUUUUCUUACUGCUCUCUCAGUUUUCCUAGAAAUACCACCCUUUUCAGGACUUCACCAAGACCACAUUUUAGAUUGCGGAUGGAAUUCAUGAGCUUCUUCCAGGAUGUGCCCAGCAGCCUUUCUUGUGUCUUUUUGGGUUUGGAGAAUGGAUCUGUAACAUCUUACAGUGAAAUGGAUGGAUGGCAAUGUCUUACCACUUGCACUCUUUAAUGAAGAGGGGAAAAAGGCGACUUUCCCAGUACCAGCAGUCCAGGAAAGACAUAUUUUACAGCAGCUCCUUUUGUUCACUUAAAAUAAUGUCUGUCAUUUGCAACAUGUUUCCUAUGCUUCCAGGGCUUCUUUAAAACCUCUUGGAAACAAGCUGGCUGCCCUCAGAGGCUUGCGUGGUAUUGUUCCCCCUUUUAUGUGUCAGAGAAGGGAGCCAAUACAGCAUAGCCUGUCUUGGAGAAACCCUUAUCUUGAGAGGUGGGCGGCCAUUGGGUAGCAUCACACUGUAGGUAUGUCACCCCUCUCCUAUGGACGUUGAAAAAUGCAGUGAGUGUGCCACGUGACACACUGCUGCCACGGUCUGCCUUCAUGCUGUGUAGCUGCUUGCUGUGCCACUUCCAUUCAAGGUGUGAUUUCUUCUGGUUAUUUUGUCCCUAAAAGAGCGAAAUGGAGCCAAAGUGUGCGGCCAUCACCAUUGUCCACAAAGUUUCCUACCCUUGCUGCUUGCUUAGGACAAAUGUCUUAUUUGUCAGAAUUAAAUGAACUGUUCUGACCUUAGCAUUCCAGCACAUCUGGAAUACCUGGAGAAAGAGUCAGGUGCCUGUCAAGGAAAGUUACAGCAGUCAGCCACUGUUGUGGCUGGCAAAUAUACAACUUCCAAGAGCUCCUUGGGAAUCAAAAGAUUUGAAUUCAUAUUUCUUUAAUGGAGCGUAUUAGAUUUGAAGGAAAACAUUUAAUCUGCCUUUCUUCCAUUUCCUUGCUGUUUGAUUUGCUUCAUUUUGUCAAGGCAAACAAAUUAUCCGUCAUAUUUCUUGUGGCAUAGUGGGCUAGAGCUGCAGUGACUCCUGUGAAAGUAUUACGGAAAGGUGCUUAUAUCCUAAAAAAAACCCAACCAACCAACCAAAAAACCCCAAAUAAACA